AUGAACGCUGGCGGCGUGCCUAAUACCUGCAAGUCGAGCGAACAGAUGAGGAGCUUGCUCCUCUGACGUUAGCGGCGGACGGGUGAGUAACACGUGGAUAACCUACCUAUAAGACUGGGAUAACUUCGGGAAACCGGAGCUAAUACCGGACAAUAUAUUGAACCGCAUGGUUCAAUAGUGAAAGACGGUUUUGCUGUCACUUAUAGAUGGAUCCGCGCCGCAUUAGCUAGUUGGUAAGGUAACGGCUUACCAAGGCAACGAUGCGUAGCCGACCUGAGAGGGUGAUCGGCCACACUGGAACUGAGACACGGUCCAGACUCCUACGGGAGGCAGCAGUAGGGAAUCUUCCGCAAUGGGCGAAAGCCUGACGGAGCAACGCCGCGUGAGUGAUGAAGGUCUUCGGAUCGUAAAACUCUGUUAUUAGGGAAGAACAAAUGUGUAAGUAACUAUGCACGUCUUGACGGUACCUAAUCAGAAAGCCACGGCUAACUACGUG
rnacentral:rRNA from 1 species